CAGCCUCAAAACCACGGCUCUGUGUCAGUCAUCUCUGCCUGCCUCAGCCCAGGAUCUGCAGCUCAGCGCGAGCAGAGCCCCUGGCCCCUUGCGAUCCUUUCCGAGCCGGCUUUGCCAAAGCAGAGGUCACCCAGAAGCCAGUUUGUCAUCUUUGUGAUGGAGGGACAGGCACACGGAGAGAAGACCACCUACCACAGGUCCCCAGACAGCCCUCCCUGGGAUGUGACAGUUUCUGUGGGCGCAGGGCUCCAGGAAAAUACCUGUCUCCCCACCUAUGCAAAGAAGUGUCCAGACGAGCCGAACUCCGCCAUCCUGCUGCAAACGGGCCGGCGUGGGUUCUGCCCUCAGCCUCGCCUUCCCGCCCGCAUAGCCCUGCGCAGGCUCUGAGCCUUGGCCUCUUCCUCCGCGAAGUGAGGGUGGACACUGACCCAGUACUAUCUGAGGGCCCACAGGUGAGCAUGGGACACGCAACUCAGAGUCGCUCUGUGCCCGCAGCUGUCAGGUCAGACCGUGUCGCCCUGUGAGCCAGCGCCCGCCCUGGCUCAUCUGCGAUGCGUACAGAAACACAGGUCUUCCACCCAACACGCAUGGACCGUUGUGUUCAGUAAUAGAUUGAACAAGCUUCUCCCUCACAGCCAUGGGCCCCGGCCCCUGACUGUUUGCUUUCUAGAGAGAGUCCUCGGCCCUCCUUGGAGAAUACUAACGCGGCUGUCUGAGCCCCAGCCGGCUCUGGUGGAGCCACGUGGCCUCAGCCCUGCAGAGGACUUACGGGUACCAGUGGGUCCCACGGGGCCUUCCCCAUGUCCUGGUUCUCUCCUUCACGCCCGAGAACAUAGGCAUGCAGAGCCUUGGGGCUUCUCACACACCACCGGCACAGAGCGAAGUCCAGCGUGCCUAUUUCGUAUUUGAGGCUAGAAGUCAAGCACUUAUAUCAAGGCCACAUACUUUUUGCCAAUCCCUGAAUCUCCAAGUUGGAGCUGAGUGUGCCACAUCAAACACGUCUCCUGUCAUUCCACAUAGACAGUCACGUGUCACUUAACAA
rnacentral:lncRNA from 1 species